GAAAAAAGAAGAAACUAAAGGAGACAAAGAAAAUGGGAAUGGGGAGAGCAGGAAUUAGAAGAAGUGGACGAGAUAAGAUACCUAGGGUACAUACUACAGAAAAACGGCAGCGAUGAGAAACACAUACAAGACAGGAAAAAGAGAGCAACGAUAGCAACGAAGAAAACAUGCAGCGUGAGAGAAAGAAUAUUCAAACAGGACUACAAAAGGAGAAUGAAGAUGUAUAGAGCACUGGUAGAGAGCAUGGCGCUGUUUGGAGCAGAGGUAUGGGGCUGGAACAUGGAAGAAAGACUUGAUAAACAGGACUACAAAAGGAGAAUGAAGAUGUUUGGAGCACUGGUAGAGAGCG
rnacentral:misc_RNA from 1 species